UACGGGGGGGGCAAGCGUUGUUCGGAAUUACUGGGCGUAAAGGGCUCGUAGGCGGCCAACUAAGUCGGAUGUGAAAUCCCCAGGCUUAACCUGGGAACUGCAUCCGAUACUGGGUGGCUUGAAUUCGGGAGAGGGGUGCAGAAUUCCAGGUGUAGCGGUGAAAUGCGUAGAUAUCUGGAAGAACACCAACGGCGAAAGCACUCUGCUGGGCCGAAAAACUGACACUGAUAGACGAAAGCUAGGGGAGCAAAUGGG
rnacentral:rRNA from 1 species